rnacentral:rRNA from 1 species
UACGUAGGGUGCAAGCGUUAAUCGGAAUUACUGGGCGUAAAGCGUGCGCAGGCGGUGAUGUAAGACAGAUGUGAAAUCCCCGGGCUCAACCUGGGAACUGCAUUUGUGACUGCAUCGCUGGAGUGCGGCAGAGGGGGAUGGAAUUCCGCGUGUAGCAGUGAAAUGCGUAGAGAUGUGGAGGAACACCGAUGGCGAAGGCAGCCACCUGGGCUAACACUGACGCUCAUGCACGAAAGCGUGGGGAGCAAACAGG